UGGGGAAUAUUGCACAAUGGGCGAAAGCCUGAUCCAGCCAUGCCGCGUGAGUGACGAAGGCCUUAGGGUUGUAAAGCUCUUUUGGCGGGGAAGAUAAUGACGGUACCCGCAGAAUAAGCUCCGGCUAACUUCGUGCCAGCAGCCGCGGUAAUACGAAGGGAGCUAGCGUUGUUCGGAAUCACUGGGCGUAAAGCGCACGUAGGCGGAUUGUUUAGUCAGGGGUGAAAUCCCGGAGCUCAACUUCGGAACUGCCUCUGAUACUGGCAAUCUCGAGUCCGAUAGAGGUGGGUGGAAUUCCUAGUGUAGAGGUGAAAUUCGUAGAUAUUAGGAAGAACACCGGUGGCGAAGGCGGCCCACUGGAUCGGUACUGACGCUGAGGUGCGAAAGCGUGGGGAGCGAACAGGAUUAGAUACCCCCGUAGUCCCUGAGCGGGCUGGCAAGGCGCAU
rnacentral:rRNA from 1 species